UACGUAGGCAGCGAGCGUUGUUCGGAAUUACUGGGCGUAAAGAGUGUGUAGGCGGUGUUCCCAGUCUGUUGUGAAAUCUCCCGGCUUAACCUGGGAAUGGCAUUUGGGACUGCAAGGCUUGAGUGCGGCAGAGGAGACUGGAAUUCCUGGUGUAGCAGUGAAAUGCGUAGAUAUCAGGAGGAACACCGAUGGCGAAGGCAGGUCUCUGGGCUGACACUGACGCUCAUGCACGAAAGCGUGGGGAGCAAACAGG
rnacentral:rRNA from 1 species